rnacentral:rRNA from 1 species
ACGCUGGCGGCGUGCUUAACACAUGCAAGUCGAACGAUGAAGCCUGGCUUGCUAGGUGGAUUAGUGGCGAACGGGUGAGUAAUACGUGAGUAACCUACCUUUAACUCUGGGAUAAGCCUGGGAAACUGGGUCUAAUACCGGAUACGACCAAUCUCCGCAUGGGGUGUUGGUGGAAAGCGUUAUGUAGUGGUUAUAGAUGGGCUCACGGCCUAUCAGCUUGUUGGUGAGGUAACGGCUCAUCAAGGCGACGACGGGUAGCCGGCCUGAGAGGGUGACCGGCCACACUGGGACUGAGACACGGCCCAGACUCCUACGGGAGGCAGCAGUGGGGAAUAUUGCACAAUGGGCGCAAGCCUGAUGCAGCGACGCCGCGUGAGGGAUGACGGCCUUCGGGUUGUAAACCUCUGUUAGCAGGGAAGAAGAGAGAUUGACGGUACCUGCAGAGAAAGCGCCGGCUAACUACGUGCCAGCAGCCGCGGUAAUACGUAGGGCGCGAGCGUUGUCCGGAAUUAUUGGGCGUAAAGAGCUUGUAGGCGGUUUGUCGCGUCUGCUGUGAAAGGCCGGAGCUUAACUCCGUGUAUUGCAGUGGGUACGGGCAGACUAGAGUGCAGUAGGGGAGACUGGAAUUCCUGGUGUAGCGGUGGAAUGCGCAGAUAUCAGGAGGAACACCGAUGGCGAAGGCAGGUCUCUGGGCUGUAACUGACGCUGAGAAGCGAAAGCAUGGGGAGCGAACAGGAUUAGAUACCCUGGUAGUCCAUGCCGUAAACGUUGGGCACUAGGUGUGGGGGACAUUCCACGUUUUCCGCGCCGUAGCUAACGCAUUAAGUGCCCCGCCUGGGGAGUACGGCCGCAAGGCUAAAACUCAAAGAAAUUGACGGGGGCCCGCACAAGCGGCGGAGCAUGCGGAUUAAUUCGAUGCA